rnacentral:misc_RNA from 1 species
GAUGAAGAACGCAGCGAACUGCGAUAAGUAAUGUGAAUUGCAGAAUUCAGUGAAUCAUCGAGUCUUUGAACGCACAUUGCGCCCCCUGGCAUUCCGGGGGGCAUGCCUGUCCGAGCGUCAUUGCUGCCCUUCAAGCCCGGCUUGUGUGUUGGGUCGUCGUCCCCCCCGGGGGACGGGCCCGAAAGGCAGCGGCGGCACCGCGUCCGGUCCUCGAGCGUAUGGGGCUUUGUCACCCGCUCGAUUAGGGCCGGCCGGGCGCCAGCCGGCGUCUCCAACCUUCUAUUUUACCAGGUUGACCUCGGAUCAGGUAGGGAUACCCGCUGAACUUAAGCAUAUCAAUAAGCGGGGA